rnacentral:tRNA from 1 species
UAGGAAAUAGGUAAAAGAAUACCGUGAAAGUUUGGAUUUCAAGUUGAGAGCUCAAUACUCUUUUUCCUA